rnacentral:rRNA from 1 species
GCUGGCGGCGUGCCUAACACAUGCAAGUCGAGCGGGAUCCAUCCAGUAGCAAUACUGGGGAAGAUCUAGCGGCGAACGGGUGAGUAACACGUGAGAAACCUGCCCCGAAGUCUGGGAUAACCCGAGGAAACUCGAGCUAAUACCGGAUGCCCUCCUCUGGUCGCAUGGCCGGUGGAGGAAAGAUUCAUCGCUUCGGGAGGGUCUCGCGGCCUAUCAGCUAGUUGGUGGGGUAACGGCCCACCAAGGCGUCGACGGGUAGCUGGUCUGAGAGGACGAUCAGCCACACUGGGACUGAGACACGGCCCAGACUCCUACGGGAGGCAGCAGUGGGGAAUCUUGCGCAAUGGGCGAAAGCCUGACGCAGCAACGCCGCGUGCGGGAUGAAGGCCUUCGGGUUGUAAACCGCUUUCAGGAGGGACGAAAUUGACGGUACCUCCAGAAGAAGCCCCGGCCAACUACGUGCCAGCAGCCGCGGUAACACGUAGGGGGCAAGCGUUGUCCGGAUUUAUUGGGCGUAAAGAGCUCGUAGGCGGCUUAGUAAGUCGGGUGUGAAACCUCCAGGUUCAACCUGGAGACGCCACCCGAUACUGCUAUAGCUAGAGUCCGGUAGGGGAGCGUGGAAUUCCUGGU